rfam:Gossypium arboreum cultivar AKA8401 contig_58926_5, whole genome shotgun sequence.
ACAAUGGAGUUUCUAAACUCUACAAGAAUAUUAAAAAUAAAUAUUU